UCGUGCUAGAUGGGGAAUUAGCGGUGCCCUGUAACCUGCAACCCGCUAUAGCAGGAUUGAUGCUUGCAUCAGGCAGAUAAUGAUCAUUUUAUGCAAGUUAAGUGGUGUUGAAGUUUCAAUUCUUCGCAAUGGUUUUACACUAAACCCCGUCAGGACCGGAAGGGAGCAGCGGUAGGUGAUUAGGAUUAUGUGCCGGAGAACCCCUGAAAUGGAGCUAACUGACUUGUCAUAAAUUGACCCCAGGUCUGACAACCGCAAGUGCACGG
rnacentral:SRP_RNA from 1 species